UACGGGGGGGGGCAAGCGUUGUUCGGAAUUACUGGGCGUAAAGGGUUUGUAGGUGGCUUGUUAAGUCAGACGUGAAAUCCCUCAGCUUAACUGGGGAACUGCGUCUGAAUACUGGCGAGCUUGAGUGCAGGAGAGGAACGCGGAAUUCCAGGUGUAGCGGUGAAAUGCGUAGAUAUCGGGAGGAACACCGGUGGCGAAGGCGGCAUCCUGGACCGAGAUUGACGCUGAUGCGCGAAAGCCAGGGGAGCAAACGGGG
rnacentral:rRNA from 1 species